rnacentral:rRNA from 1 species
GACGAACGCUGGCGGCGUGCUUAACACAUGCAAGUCGAACGAAGUGGCGAACGGGUGAGUAACGCGUAAUCAACCUGCCCUUCAGAGGGGGACAACAGUUGGAAACGACUGCUAAUACCGCAUACUGCAGGAGUGGAUUGCGUCGGAUUAGCUAGUUGGGGGGGUAACGGCCCACCAAGGCGAUGAUCAGUAGCCGGUUUGAGAGGAUGAACGGCAAAAUUGGGACUGAGACACGGCCCAGACUCCUAAGGGAGGCAGCAUGGGGGAAUCUUCCGAAAUGGAGGAAAGUCUGACGGAGCAACGCCGGGGGAGUGAUGACGGCCUUCCGGUUGGAAAGCUCUGUUAAUCGGGACGCGUUACCGGAAUAGAAAGCCACGGCUAACUACGUGCCAGCAGCCGCGGUAAUUC